ACGGGUAUAGGUUAAUGGUAGACCUUUCGUUUACCAAGCGAACUGUGUCAGUUCGAAUCUGACUACCCGUA
rnacentral:tRNA from 1 species